AGAGACAAACCCCAGGAGAGCCUGAGGUCCUCCAGAGGGAUAUUAGUGAGUGGCUUGUCUGAGCAAAAGCCAUUUCUACUCACCCCACAGUCGUUAGCUCCAUCUCCACACAUGCCCACAUAAUAACUGCGGGAGACAGGAGAAGAAGGAUUAAUAGGUCCAGUCUCUUGGUUCUCCACCAGCUGCCAGGUCACAGAGGCAGGAACAAAUUCUUCUGGUUCAUCGGCCUCAACAAUGAUCACUUGGCUGCCUGGAGGGAUCAUUUCAGAAUUCUUUGCAACAGUAAUGGCCGUUUGAAGGUUAUCACCUAGAAGACAAAGAAACUUUGCUUGCUGUAUGUACAAACCUCCCCUCAGCAACAAGAACUGAGGUCUCCCUUUUCCACUCUGCUUGGUGUUCUUUGAGAGCAUUUACCGCUUUCUGCCUUAUUUUAUCUUCCUCUCUGCUGUAGACUGCCCCUACUGGGCAAACACUAUGUUCCCAUCUCCCUCUCCAUAUUCUGCAUCAUAUCCUGGUCCAUGUGUAUUUCAAAACAUGUGUGAAUUAAUAAAGAAAUACUUAAGCAUUUAUGACCAAUCCUCAGAAGACAGACAACUCUUAGUGGAGAAUAUAGCAUGAUCUCAGCCUGAUAGCUUAAACCAUCCACGGGAUCUGGAAACUAACUAAGCAAAGAACACACAGGGUCAGGCUGUGCUUGGGUUUGACGAUCAUACACCAUGCCUGGCCCUACUGCCCUAGAGGACCAUCAACCAGAGACUCAAUCCUCUAUGCAGAGGGAUCACUGGGUUUCUUGAUGAGAACACACCCAUUCUUGCUCAUUUACUGUGAGCCUUGAGGCACCGCACAGAUCCUGGCUGGGAGGGGUAGUCAUUAGACAAAGAGGAUGAGAUACGGUCCCUACCUUCAAAGCUUCUGGUCCUGUCGGGGCAGCUGCACAUGUUUUUAGGUAAGGGACUACAGGGUAACAAAUUCGACAACAGAACAUUUUUCCCUGUCUCUGAUACAUGAACUCACUCAGCUCACACAUCUUGUUCUUAUGCCUAGGAUACAAUCAACUUGCCAGGCCCCUAGAAACAAAUACAUACCUGUAAUCAUCACAGUCCUGAUACGGGCCUCACUCAGUUCCUUCAAGACCAGUUUGGUUUCUUUUUUCAAGCGAUUCUCCAUGAUGAGAAGUCCCAGAAAUGUUAACUCUGACUCCACUUUUUCUCUUUGUAUUCAGGAGAAAAUCAAUAUUAAAGUAUAUCUACGUAGGCUCCAUAGUUCAAUUUAUUUCUUCUUUUAAAAAUUUAUAAGUUUUAUUAAUGCAAUACAGGCACAUUUUAAAAAUCAAAAUGAACUUAAAAGCUUAUAAUGAAAACCAGUAGUCUGUCUCCACACCACCUCACCCCUCUCCUUCCUAGAGGCAACCACUUCUAAAUCUGUUUUUUCCAGUUUCCAACUUUAUUUUUAAAAACAAUGUGCUUAUCUUCCAACUCUUCUGUUGGUUUUUAAAUAUGUUAAUCAAAUAUACUUUAUUUUUUAAUUUCU
rnacentral:lncRNA from 1 species